CUGACUUUGAGUGAAGAAAGAAGGGACUCCUCUGGAAUUUCCUAAGGAAUUUAUUCGGACAGCCCAUGUUGCGAGGGCUUUGCAUUCUUCCGCCUGGGUAUAGAAUGUGACCAACCAUUCCACACUAGGGAAAUUCGGAGGAGUUCUGUUCUUUCGUCGCUCUGGUCCGAGGCAGCAAUCGCAGCUGAUUAUUCCAAACGGGUGGGGGCAAAGGGGGCAUUAAUUUCACUGGUGUGUCGGUGA
rnacentral:lncRNA from 1 species